CCUACGGGAGGCAGCAGUAAGGAAUAUUGGUCAAUGGACGAAAGUCUGAACCAGCCAUGCCGCGUGAAGGAUUAAGGUCCUCUGGAUUGUAAACUUCUUUUAUAGGGGACGAAAAAAGGGCAUUCUUGCUCUCUUGACGGUACCCUGUGAAUAAGCACCGGCUAACUCCGUGCCAGCAGCCGCGGUAAUACGGAGGGUGCAAGCGUUAUCCGGAUUCACUGGGUUUAAAGGGUGCGUAGGCGGGUAGGUAAGUCAGUGGUGAAAUCUCGGAGCUUAACUCCGAAACUGCCAUUGAUACUAUCUAUCUUGAAUAUUGUGGAGGUUUGCGGAAUAUGUCAUGUAGCGGUGAAAUGCAUAGAUAUGACAUAGAACACCUAUUGCGAAGGCAGCAGGCUACACAUAUAUUGACGCUGAGGCACGAAAGCGUGGGGAUCAAACAGGAUUAGAUACCCUGGUAGUCCACGCCCUAAACGAUGAUUACUCGACAUACGUGAUACACUAUGUGUGUCUGAGCGAAAGCAUUAAGUAAUCCACCUGGAAGUACGUCGCAGAUGAACUCAAAGGAAUUAGACGG
rnacentral:rRNA from 1 species